rnacentral:misc_RNA from 1 species
GGGGGUGGUUUUGUUGUUGGGGAGGUGUUAUUCUUUCAAAAUUAAAGCAAUACUCACAAUUAAGAAGCAGGAAAUAUAUUAAUAAUAGAAUUUAUACUUUGUAGACAUAUUAGAUUAUAUAGAAUCAAUAGAUGAGGCAAUUGUCUUAAUAUUUGAUAGACAGAAAAGGGGGGAAAAAAAACAUUAAUUACGUUCCAUAUCUAACAUUUUUUUUUUUUUUCCU